AGAACGAACGCUGGCGGCAUGCCUAACACAUGCAAGUCGAACGAAGCCUUCGGGCUUAGUGGCGCACGGGUGCGUAACGCGUGGGAAUCUGCCCUUGGGUUCGGAAUAACAGUUGGAAACGACUGCUAAUACCGGAUGAUGUCUUCGGACCAAAGAUUUAUCGCCCAAGGAUGAGCCCGCGUAAGAUUAGCUAGUUGGUGGGGUAAAGGCCUACCAAGGCUACGAUCUUUAGCUGGUCUGAGAGGAUGAUCAGCCACACUGGGACUGAGACACGGCCCAGACUCCUACGGGAGGCAGCAGUGGGGAAUAUUGGACAAUGGGCGAAAGCCUGAUCCAGCAAUGCCGCGUGAGUGAUGAAGGCCUUAGGGUUGUAAAGCUCUUUUACCCGGGAUGAUAAUGACAGUACCGGGAGAAUAAGCUCCGGCUAACUCCGUGCCAGCAGCCGC
rnacentral:rRNA from 1 species